UAUUUUCUUGUUUUACAGCUGGAGACCAAAAAACGCAAAGAAAAUCAGUCACAGCAAGCCAGUCAAACCAGUCCUGAUGAAUGAGGAAUGAACAUGUCUUCUUGUGCCCAAACAGAAAAGACAGAUCUCCACUGGUAUCUCCUAGAAUUAGCAAAUCAACUGUGCCAUCAUCUCUGGAAUUUGGGCAGGAAAUGACCGAAUUUGGAGGAUAAAGCCAGUUGAUGAAGAGAUCAAUUCAAUGGCCACCAGGUGCAGCACUGCAGCCUGAACCCAUCAGGUAUCUGCUGUGAAGACUGCAUUCAUGAACAGCUCUACUGUGACAGCUCAGAUGUUACGGCGCAUAAAAGUAAACUUAACAACUGAUCAACAAGUGUUGUGGAGGGAUUCUUUUGGCCCAUACCUCCAACAGGAAUCAAUGACAUCUACAUCAGGUGGUGUGUGAGGAAAGCACAGAGGACCAUCAGAGACUCCAGCCAACUGCAUGGAUCGCUCUCAUUGUUACCAUCAGUAAGAAGUUAUUGCAGAACCUACACCAGCAGACUGCGAGACAAGUUCUUUCCACAGGCAAUCAGGCUGAACUGAACUCAUACCAGUAACACCACACACAGCACAUCAACCUCAUAUGUACUGCACUCUAACAGUUACACUGUCUGGACUCUGACUCACUAUUAUUCUGCACCCUGACACUCUGUUUGCACUAAUUCAUACCGUACUGCACUGUCACUAUUGUUUAUCAUUGUUUUCAUUUUGUGCUCACUAGUGUUGUCACGGUACCAAAAUUUCAGUAUUCGGUACCAAUACCAGUGAAAAUCCACGGUUCUCGGUACCAAUUUCGGUACCAAAUCAAAACACAAAAACAUGAAUUGAACAACACACUAUUUUUAUUUAUAACAAACAAAAAUAAAACAAAGUUUUGACUUGGAAGCUGGUAUUUUGAGCUGAGGUGAUGAAGCAUUUGCUGGAAUCCCCAUUUUUCACUGUAUAAACUGGCACUUAAUCCAUACAUGUGAAUUCGGCAACAGCUCGGUUCAGUUUUCUUGCCUCAGGUGAGUUUUUGUCGUACUUCUGCUGCUGAAAAGCAUCUGGAACCGUUGUCUGCUUAGGAGUUUGGUUCGUGGUCUUCUUCAGCCUGCAGCUGUAAAAGGAAAAUAUAAUAUACUUCAGUAAAACAAUGGGCUGAGUCUGACUAAAUGCAAUAUUAGAUUGACACCAGCUAAACAGAACUUUAUAUAUAACUUUUCAGUAAAUAACAAACCUCAGCUUUUUAUAAGAAAGUUAGAUAAGAUUACUUGUAUUAAUGUUACACAGAUGGAAACUGUAGUAUUAAAAACACUUUACAAAAAGAUUCCAUUUAACAUGACUUAAUAAACAAGUGUUACAUAGCAAUUAUUCUUCUUAAUUUCAAAAUGUAUUAAUAAUUUAUUUUAAAUUAAAAGUUAUAUCUGUUGACAUUAUUUCACGCACAAUGAACAAACAUGAACGAUCAAAUGUUUGUAUAAAACAACAUUCACACACAUUAAUUAAUGUGCACUCACUGUAAAUUGAUGUUAGAUAAUAUAUUAAGUCAUGUUAAUGAAUAGUAUAUUUUACCAAACUAUACAGGACUGUAUUUGACUGUACGUUUAUUUAAUCAAACUGCGCAAACUAUAUUUCAUAGCCUAGAACUGCUUUUCUGAUGGACUUAUUUUAAGGCUAUAAACAUUAACCAUACAUUUGUACAUGUGUUCUCUAACACACAUUUUUUAGCUACACGGGUCAUCAGGUGUGUAAAAAUAGUACACGAUCAUGUCCUGUUUUUUUUGUUUGUUUUUUUUUUUUUUUUUUUUUAAUAAUAAACGCUAUCGGUCUUUGUCAGGUGACGUCACACUCACGAGAAUCGAAUUGCAUUUUGGGUAUCGCCGCCAUUUGUAAGGUAUCAAAGCUGAGGUGUUCUGUAGUUGCAGAAUUAUCCCUUUGAUUUGCUUCAAAAUGGUACGUUUUUGUUGCGUUAAAAUCAGCGAUUGUAAAUUACAUGAUUAGAAAAGGUUAAAAACUGACCACGAGGAAAGAUAUUUUAGGUCUCCCAGUUGAAAGAAACAGUAGACAACAUGCAGCGGAAAUAACCAAGAAGUGUCGGAUGGCCUGAAUAGCAGCGGUGAUACGCAAAAUCAUCAUAUUUUCCCGCAACAUUUUCAUAAAGGUAAGUAAGCGAUUUUUUAGUUUGUGCUUAUUUUCUCUUUUUUUAUACCUAACGUUAUAUCCACAUGUUUUGGGUUAUCAGUGCUAUUCAGUGGUGUAGUGCAGGUAUACGGUGUAAUGACAAGUGUGGAUAAAUGCAAAUAUUCCCUAAAAGCACCCAGUAAAGACGGUGAUGCGGUCAGGAACGCGGCGCCGGUUUCCUUUUAAAUAUGUUUGAUGGUUGCGCCGGCGCCGUCUCUGUUCAUACAUGAGAGCAUGUCAGCUUUGUGGUAAAAUAAUUAUUAUUGAUAACUAAUUUGAAUCAGUACAUUAUAACGAAAACAAUACCUUAGGAAUGAAAAGCAGGUUUUUUUAAACCGAUGAACCAGACAGCCAAGGAGCAGAAACGCGCAUGGGUGUAGAGAUUUAUUUUAUUUCACUACUGAAAUUCUUAACUAAAUACUUAACGGAAUACCUAACUAAAAUACAUUUUUAAUGUUUUUAUUUUUUAAUGUAUUUCUGUAUUUCAUAUAGGUUGGUGUGACUAAACUGUAAGAAAAAAAUAAAAACAUUGCAGCCAGCUGAGAUGAUGACCCACCAGGCUGGAGGAGAUGGUCGACUUCACAAGACACCACUCGAUGCCACAAACUGAAUGUAACUUGUGUGUACACAGAAGAAAACUGACUGCUUUUCAUGCAUAAGGACAUAAGGGAAAUUCUCACUUCAUUUUAAAUACUUCUGUUAACUUCAUGCACCUCAGACUGAAUCUGCCUGCACAAACACUGUUUUAUACAACUGUUACAGGCACAAAAUUAUCCUUCAUUAGUUUGUGGUGUCCUUUGGACACAGUAUAGCAAUGAUUGACUGCUUUCAGAUUUCCACAGAGAAACCAAAUUAAUUAUUUCACAGAUCAUCUAGCACAUAUAAGAAUCCAUGUAGAAAGGGUCAUUAGAAAUGUUUGGCAGAAGCAUUAAAUCAUCACCACAUUAUUAUUAAUAUUAUUUUUAUUUAUUUUCAUUUUAUUAUUAUUAUUGUUCAACUUUCUUUGUAGUGCUUGCACUGUGUCCACUUAGCGGUAUGUUGAUGUUCUUCAUGCUUGUCCCAUCUUCUGUUAUGCAUUUUUAAGCUGAUUUUUAACACAGUGAUGUAUUUAUAAUAAAGUAUAUAUAAUGACAUUUUCAUAAAUGUGUUUUUGAUUGACUCCUUAUCAGUACUUGUUAUCAGCCAAAUGAAGUACGGAAAAUGUUGAACAAACAGGCUAAAGUGUAAUGGCAUUAAUGGUAUAAGGGAAUGUGCAAAUCAAUGGUAGACAAAAACAGAACAUAUAAGUGUAUUUGUAAGUAAAUAAUAUACGUUUUUAUACCGUAAACAAGAGCACGUCAUAUUUCCAUCGAGGUUGAACACCGGCAGCACUCAACUUUUUGCGGUCAGGUAACGUUAAUAUGGAUCAGUGUUAAUUGUUAAUGACAAAUUAUAUACGUUACGGUUCCUAAAACUUCUGCUGAGAUUAUCUCGGUCCCAUAUCUACUUGGUUUGCUUCUGUUUCUCCAGUAUGAUGAUUUAAACGGUCUUUACUUUACGGCUCUGUAUACUUUCAGUUAACUGCUCAAUGCGACGAUACCUUCAAAAUGGCGCGUCGGUGACGUCACACAUAAUAAACGCACGUGACUGACAAAGACCGAUAGGAGCAUUAAACACUUAAUAAAGAAGUUUAUUGUAAUACUCGCGUUAGCAUUAGCCGCGCUUAUGCUAACGAUUAACUAAGCAAAUGGCGAUGUUUAAGGUAUAAUUUUUAUAACAAAAGCUCUAAAUAUAAAAUAAAAUUAAAACUUACCUGCUUGAACUUUCAUUAAAUUUGGGUGUCGGUCUUUGAGGUGUUUUAUUAAGUUCGAUGUAUGUCCUCCUUUUGAGAGAAACUUCGAUGACACCGUUUGCAAACGGGUUUCUGAUGAUCUAUGAUGUUGCCCUUGUCAUCAGCCGCAAAUACGAAAUAUUUCCACACGUGGCUCCUUCCUCCUUUCUUUUCAACAAGCGGAUUCAGAGCAGCCACAUCAGCAACACCACCGGUCGCCGUGUCUCUGUGCUUUUGUGAAGAAGACGCAACUGCGCAGUGCGCACCUUUCCGAUAGCGCAGCAAGAACCGGGUUGACCGGGUGCUCGGUACCACCGGUACUUAAGAAAACCUGGUACCGUAACAUUUAAUUUUUUUUAGUACCGACUUGGUACCGAAGUACCGGGUCUUUUGACAACACUAGUGCUCACUGUAUAGUGUAAUAUUUACCAUAUAUUGUUUUCUACAUGUAUUGAGUCCCUUAUAUAUACAGUGUGUAUAUACAUAAACGUGUGUGUGUUGCAUAUAUUUAAUAUUUUUCAUCCAUACUGUAAUGCUGUAGUUUGAACAAAAGAAUUUCACAUGUACAUGUGAUCAUGGUAUUGUGACAAUAAAGUGAUUUGAUUUGAAUUGGUCAUUUCUUUUGUUCAUCACUUGUACUGUAGUGUGCUGGAUAACAACUGCAAAUUAUUUAUGACAUGGAAGAAGUUUAUGGAUAAACAAAGAAAAAGGAUACCAGGAGAGCUCAGAUGAUGAGCAGGAAACUGAAUGUGAUUCCAUGAUGCUCAAGAAAUUUGACCAUGCAUGCAAUUGGGUGGUUUCAUCUGAUUAAAAUAUGGUUUUAACAUAACCCAUUUUUAUUUUUCUUGAAUAUCAUUUGUCUUUAUAAUCUACUUUAGUUGUCUUUAUGAUGUAUUCUCCAGUAAAGUAUUGCACAUGAUGUUGGAUAAUAAAGUAUGGUGAAUAUUCUGUGUUAGGGAUGGUGUUUGGUGAAAACACCAUUUAAUUUUGUAAACAAUACACCUAACUACCAUGAGUGUUUUAAUUAAGGCAUGAACAUUUGGUCAUAUUAAUGACAUUCAGUUACCUGAAGGGAAGGCUGAAAGAUGAAUUAGAAGAGACUGCAUGGACCAUAUUGCUACAAACACUUCAUGCACAACUGAGGGUGAUGGAUCAGGGAAAGAUCAAUACUCAGUACAUAGAUAUGAAUCUAAUACUGUAUUAUAAGCAAGAUGAGCAUGCACAUUACUGAUGUUUCACAUCAGAGAAAGAAUAAAAUAAGGAAUAUUUGACACAGAGACACAAAUUGGGUGUUUUACAUUAUGAUUCUUUGCACUGCAUGAAUUGUAUGGCUUUUGCACCAUAAACCACACACUGUCUGUGCCUUGUCUUACUGAAUGACACAUUGAAAUUGUGUGAUAGUACAAUGA